rnacentral:rRNA from 1 species
CCCCUGGGCCGUACCACUCUGAGAACACCCGAUCUUGUCUGAUCUCAGAAGCUAAGCAGGGUCAGGCUCAGUCAGUACUGGGGUGGGAAACUCAACUGCAUAAUUUGUGGUGUUUUGC